CUAAAAUUAGCAUUCAUUGGAAAAUAUAAAGAAAAAUGUGUAAAAUACCUACAUUUUGUAUCAAAAUAGAUCAUCAGUGAUUGAGGAAGGACUCUAUCAUUGAUCAGCGGGAUUGUGAUUGCUUUGACACACUCAGUGAGUUUGUGUGUGAGUGAAGCUUUUAGAAUUUAGGCAUCUUGAUUUCUGUCACCAUAAUCUUGUGUGUAAUAAUUAUUAUGCAGUACAGUAUACUAGACAUGGGCCGGUAAACAUUAUUUUGACCAUUGUCGAGGUUGGGUAAAUAAAAAAAUUACAGUGUUUUUCGCUUCUCUUCGGUACCAAUUCCAGGUAUAAAUAAUGAACGGUCCCUUAACGGUUUAAUUUCCUCAAAAGAAAAUGACGUAGGUAGACGUUUUAAAACUAAAAAAUAAAUCGGUUGAAAGUUUAUGUAUAUAGCUUGCGCUAUAAUUUAAAAUGACCAGGAGUUAAAAAAUAGGAUUUGACAUUAAAAUGCUCAAGGUACAAAAUGUUACCCUAGUUGUGACGUCAAGCUUAUCCGACGAUGGAUAUGCAUAAUAUACAAGAUGGCGAAAUGCGUAAUGAUUUUGUUUGAAAUGAAGAGUAACAUCUUUUAUAUCAAAAACUAUAAAGAAAGUAUGUGUUAAGAUUUUGAAAUUUAUUGAAUCACUCUUACAAAUGGGACAAACUUAAUUUUUAUUGCUAUUUCCCUUUAAUUAAUUGUUUCGUAAUUUGCAUGUCGUCUGCUAAACGAAACGCCGACAACGCAUAUUUUAGCUUGAAUGUAUAACUGUAAAUAAUUCUAUUUUAAACCUUAUUCCUUUUAACUUGAGGCAAACUUCCUGAACAAGUUAAGAAAUGUUCAAUGUUUUAUAUAGAACGGGGACGUGAGAUUACGAUAAGCUUGAACGUCUCAAGCUUGGGAGCAGUUUAAAUUUGUUUUUCCCUUGUUCAACGUUGUUAGUCUAAGUCACUGUUCUGUACUAGAUUAUAAGCAUUCCUUAAAGGAAAAUGGCAACAAAAAUUAUAUUUGUUUCAUUUGGAAGAACGUUGAUAUUACAAGUCGUUUUUUCAAAUAUUCCCAAACUAUCUUAAUUUUUGAGAUAUUUGAAACUAAAACAUUUUGGUAUCCGCCAUCUACUGUAGAUCCAGUUAAAUGAUGUCACAAUCAGGGUAGACGUUUUAAAAAUAAAAAUAAUAUCAGUGAAAUGCUUAUACAUAGCUUGGACUCUAAUUUAAAAUAGACGGUAUUUAAAUAUAGCAAUUAGCAUUGAAACUACCUUAGAUACAAAAUAAUGUUACCCGGUUGUGACGUCACACAUAUCCGACGAUGGAUAUGCAUAUCCAAGAUGGCGGAAUGCAUAAGUAUUUUAUUUGAAAUGAAGUGCAAUAUCUUUUAUACCAAAACAAUAAAAAAAUCUGUGAUAAGAUUUUCAAAUUUGUUGAAUCACUCUUUCAAACGGAGGAAAUGUAUUGCUAUUUCCCUUUAAGUUUGUUUAUUUCUGUCCAGUUGUGAUCAUUGAAGCUAAUGAUGACAAUUGAUUAUAGUUAGCGCUCAAACUUGAGCGAGUAGCAGAUCUGGUGAACUUUAAGCAUAUCUAGUAGACUACAGAACGUUCAAAAAGUGAAACGUCACUAAUUUUA
rnacentral:lncRNA from 1 species